UGUGAACUGGACAGCUGCCAGGAUGUUGC
rnacentral:piRNA from 1 species